AACGAACGCUGGCGGCAUGCCUAACACAUGCAAGUCGAACGAGACCUUCGGGUCUAGUGGCGCACGGGUGCGUAACGCGUGGGAACCUGCCCUUAGGUUCGGAAUAACUCCCCGAAAGGGGUGCUAAUACCGGAUAAUGUCUUCGGACCAAAGAUUUAUCGCCUUUGGAUGGGCCCGCGUUGGAUUAGCUAGUUGGUAGGGUAAAAGCCUACCAAGGCGACGAUCCAUAGCUGGUCUGAGAGGAUGAUCAGCCACACUGGGACUGAGACACGGCCCAGACUCCUACGGGAGGCAGCAGUGGGGAAUAUUGGACGAUGGGCGAAAGCCUGAUCCAGCAGUGCCGCGUGAGUGAUGAAGGCCUUAGGGUUGUAAAGCUCUUUUACCCGGGAUGAUAAUGACAGUACCGGGAGAAUAAGCACCGGCUAACUCCGUG
rnacentral:rRNA from 1 species